GAAACUUUUGCUUUCACGUGUGCACGCGAUAGUUUCACGUGCGCGCGAAAGUUUCCUUUAAAAAAAUUCUGCACAUUAAAGUUUCGCGUGAGCACAUGAAACUAAACUUUCGAUUUUUUUACUCCAAUGUCACCUUAGGGGCUCGGUAAAAAUGAGCUUCGUGUUGCACUUUUUUUGUUUUACCAACAACGGCCACUAGGUGUCAUUGGUUUGCUGAAUACUCUUGUCACAAAUGAAUAAAUUACAGUCACUGCAUUAUUAUUACUGCCAAAAGGUAUGAAACAAAAUUCUUAGACCUUUCCAACAAGAUACAGUUUGUCGUUAAAAGCACAAUAGCAUCCCGAUCUCCAUCCAAAUGUGUUUUUGGUUUUUUGGACUGUAGAAGGAUGGCAAUGUAUGGCAACGUAAAAAAAUAAAAAAAUAUAGAAAAAUCAAUAUAAUCCUGGCAGCUGAUGUCUUUCACAGUAUAUUUUUAUAGAUGUUCUGGCACAAUAAGAGCAUACUGUUCAUUAAAAUGUAUAAAAGACUAAACUAAAGAAACUCAAGUGCAAUGUAAAGCUCGAUUCAUUUACAUUCUGCUAUCCAACCUUUCUACAUAUCAUCUAUACAACAGCUUACCCUUUAAAUCUAUGCCUCUAAAGGAAAUGAUAUGCACUACACUCAUAUCAUUAAAAACAACCUGCAGGUAAGACC